AGAGUUUGAUCAUGGCUCAGGACGAACGCUGGCGGCGUGCUUAAUACAUGCAAGUCGAGCGAGGUUACUGUUUUGGAUCCCCUCGGGGUGAAGAAGCUUUAACCUAGCGGCGGACGGGUGAGUAACGCGUGGGUAACCUACCCCAAAGUCCGGGAUGACAGCGGGAAACCGCUGCUAAUACCGGAUGCCUUUACCUUGGGGCAUCUUGAGGUAAAGAAAGGUAACGCUUUGGGAUGGGCCCGCGUCCCAUUAGCUAGUUGGUGAGGUAACGGCUCACCAAGGCGACGAUGGGUAGCCGGCCUGAGAGGGUGGACGGCCACACUGGGACUGAGACACGGCCCAGACUCCUACGGGAGGCAGCAGUAGGGAAUAUUGCGCAAUGGACGGAAGUCUGACGCAGCGACGCCGCGUGAGCGAUGAAGGUCUUCGGAUCGUAAAGCUCUGUCCUUGGGGAAGAAGGCGAAAGCUUGACGGUACCCAAGAAGAAAGCCCCGGCUAACUACGUGCCAGCAGCCGCGGUAAUACGUAGGGGGCGAGCGUUGUCCGGAAUUACUGGGCGUAAAGGGUGCGUAGGCGGCCCUUUAAGUCGGAUGUGAAAGCCCGCGGCUUAACCGCGGAAUGGCAUUCGAAACUGGAGGGCUUGAGUGUCGGAGAGGGUAGUGGAAUUCCCAGUGUAGCGGUGAAAUGCGUAGAUAUUGGGAGGAACACCAGUGGCGAAGGCGACUACUUGGACGAUAACUGACGCUGAGGCACGAAAGCUAGGGGAGCAAACAGGAUUAGAUACCCUGGUAGUCCUAGCCGUAAACGAUGGGUACUAGGUGUGGGUGGUUUCGAUACCAUCCGUGCCGUAGUUAACGCAUUAAGUACCCCGCCUGGGGAGUACGUGCGCAAGCAUGAAACUCAAAUGAAUUGACGG
rnacentral:rRNA from 1 species